AACCUGAGCUCAAGCGUGACUACCCGCUGAACUUAAGCAUAUCACUUAGCGGAGGAAAGAAACUAA
rnacentral:rRNA from 1 species